AGAUUCUGGCUGGCAGAAUAAGGGUCAACGUGGAACAACACCUGAUCUGCAGAUGGGUAGCACAGUUUGCAUCCACAGGUGGAAGUCUCCUUACACAGUUCUCACCCUACCCAGCCCCCGCUAGAUGGGGGCUGGAUGCAGGGGAUCUGUGUUGCCAUGGUGAAGAAGGCAGGGCUUUGGGAAGUUCUGAACUCACAUGCAGGCGCUGGGGUCAGAGGUUCUCUGAAGAAUAGGCAGGCUUGCUUGGAGAAAACAAAGAAGUUAAAAAUAACAAGCUGGUCAGCGCCUCACGUGUUCAUCAUACAGGAAACAUCUCAGACUCGGAAGGGCCUCUGGCAGCCCCCGAAAUGGUUUCUAGGUGUUCUGUGCAAUGCUAAGUGUUGCCUGGUGUAUCUACCUGGAUUAUCUGACUCUUUAGUGGCCUGUUCCUCUAAUUGUCUUUGAGCUGUUUUUACAUCUCUGUAAAUUAUAGAACUCUAUGUGUGAUGCAAAUGGUUCCUGUCCGUGGAAAUGCAGUUUGUCUCAUGAAAUUCAAGUGAUUAUUGCCCUGUGGGUAUUGAUCACAUCUGUGUGUAUACCAUCUGAGCGUUCUUGGUUAUCUGUGUGUGUGUGUGUGUGUUCUCAAGUCUGCUCUGAACACAAUGUAGCAUGUUACUAGUUCCCUUAUUAAAG
rnacentral:lncRNA from 1 species